GAUGAACGCUGGCGGCGUGCCUAAUACAUGCAAGUCGAGCGAACAGACGAGGAGCUCGCUCCUCUGACGUUAGCGGCGAACGGGUGAGUAACACGUGGAUAACCUACCUAUAAGACUGGGAUAACUUCGGGAAACCGGAGCUAAUACCGGAUAAUAUAUUGAACCGCAUGGUUCAAUAGUGAAAGACGGUUUUGCUGUCACUUAUAGAUGGAUCCGCGCCGCAUUAGCUAGUUGGUAAGGUAACGGCUUACCAAGGCGACGAUGCGUAGCCGACCUGAGAGGGUGAUCGGCCACACUGGAACUGAGACACGGUCCAGACUCCUACGGGAGGCAGCAGUAGGGAAUCUUCCGCAAUGGGCGAAAGCCUGACGGAGCAACGCCGCGUGAGUGAUGAAGGUCUUCGGAUCGUAAAACUCUGUUAUUAGGGAAGAACAAAUGUGUAAGUAACUAUGCACGUCUUGACGGUACCUAAUCAGAAAGCCACGGCUAACUACGUG
rnacentral:rRNA from 1 species